rnacentral:rRNA from 1 species
AGGUUAAGUUAGAAAGGGCGCACGGCGGAUGCCUUGGCACUAGGAGCCUAUGAAGGACGGCACUAACACCGAUAUGCUUCGGGGAGCUGUAAGUAAGCUGUGAUCCGAAGAUUUCCGAAUGGGGAAACCCACUGCCCGUAAUGGGGCAGUACGUUUACGUGAAUACAUAGCGUAAACGAGGCACACCCGGAGAACUGAAACAUCUAAGUACCCGGAGGAAGAGAAAGAAACAUCGAUUCCCUUAGUAGCGGCGAGCGAAACGGGAAGAGCCCAAACCAGGAAGCUUGCUUCCUGGGGUUGUAGGACACUCUAUACGGAGUUACAAAGGAACGAAUUAGACGAAGCGACCUGGAAAGGUCCGCCAUAGCGGGUAAUAGCCCCGUAGUCGAAAGUUCGUUCUCUCCAGAGUGGAUCCUGAGUACGGCGGAACACGUGAAAUUCCGUCGGAAUCCGGGAGGACCAUCUCCCAAGGCUAAAUACUCCCUAGUGACCGAUAGUGAACCAGUACCGUGAGGGAAAGGCGAAAAGCACCCCGGAAGGGGAGUGAAAUAGAACCUGAAACCGUGUGCCUACAAGUUGUCAGAGCCCGUUAAUGGGUGAUGGCGUGCCUUUUGUAGAAUGAACCGGCGAGUUACGAUUCCAUGCAAGGUUAAGCAGUGAAUGCGGAGCCGCAGCGAAAGCGAGUCUGAAUAGGGCGAAUGAGUAUGGGGUCGUAGACCCGAAACCAGGUGAUCUACCCAUGUCCAGGGUGAAGGUAAGGUAACACUUACUGGAGGCCCGAACCCACGUACGUUGAAAAGUGCGGGGAUGAGGUGUGGGUAGCGGUGAAAUUCCAAUCGAACCUGGAGAUAGCUGGUUCUCUCCGAAAUAGCUUUAGGGCUAGCCUCAAACGAAAGAAUCUCGGAGGUAGAGCACUGUUUGGACUAGGGGCCCAUCCCGGGUUACCGAAUUCAGACAAACUCCGAAUGCCGAUGAUUUAUGUUUGGGAGUCAGACUGCGGGUGAUAAGAUCCG